AAGAAGUUAACAAUUUGAAAAUAAAAAAUAAUUAUAAAUAUUAAAUUUAAAUUUUAAACUUAUUUUAAUUAAAAAAAAUAAUAGAUUUGAUUGCAAUAGGAAAUGCGUUUAGUUAGCCACCAUAGGCAAAAUUAAUUCUUAUUUUGGUUUUUGGUAAAAGCUUCAAUCAACCGAUGUAUAUAUAAUGCAUGAUAACACUAAAAAUGGUUCCUUAGUUGGGUUUGUUGAAAAAAACAAUAAAAAAUUUGAAAAAACUAAGAUAAAAAAUUUUUUCAUGUAGAUGUGUAUAUAAUUGGAGGUAACGCCGCCAAUGAUAUAAGGUGAAAAGGACUAACCCUAAUGUAGACCAAGAAAAAAAAGUUAAAUCAUAUAUUUAGGGUUCAUUUGAUAGCGUAAUUCAUCAAAUAAAAAAACUUUCACCGUAUCAUAAUUACAUUUUAUAAUUAAAUUUAAAUUUAAUUAUAAAACGAUGAGAAUAUGUUUUACUACCAAAUAAACUUUCAAUAAGAGAAGAAUCGGAGGUUUAAAAUUUUCAAAAAAAAAAAAAAAAAAAAUUCAAAGAGGAAACGGUGAAACCAUAGAUUGGGCCUUUCUCAUCCACAAAUCCAUGAAUUACAAGGAAGGUGGUUACGUAUUUGAAAAAAACAUUGAUCUAUGGUGGAGGACUGGGUCGUUUGACAGGAACGUUUCUAACUCUUUCCUCUCAAUUAUUUCAACCAACUUCAAAGGGAGGCAAUGACUGUGACUUAAUAUAUUGUUUUUGUUUUUUUCAUGCUGAAAAUUUAGAAUUAUGGUAUUAAACAAAUGAUCAAUGAUGGGUAUUAUUGAAGUCUUUUAUCUUCCAAUAGGUGAGGUUUGGUUGACUGAUGAAAGGUACAACAAAAGGGGAUCUGUUCAUAAAAAAUUUGAUUUUAAUCAUUAAUCAAGCAAUCACGAAUUCUUAGGGAUUUGAUAUUUGUAGAAAAUAUUUUAAAAGCAAAUAUGAUUUUAAAAUUAUUUGAACUAAAAUUAAUGAUAUUUUAAUCUUAUACAGAGAGAUUUUAAAAAUUUGUUAUAAUAUAUAAGUAGAAAUUUAAACUUAAAUUUAUGAGAUAAUUUUUAUAAAAUAAAAUCAUGAAAAUUUUAAAUCAAAACGAAUAAUAUCUCAUAAAUUAAGUGUUAUUUUUCAUGAUUAAUUAGAAUAAAAUAUGAGAUAUUGCUUAAUGGAUGAUUUAGGUCAUCAGGCUACUAUAUUAUUUGUUCUUAUUAAAAAUUUUGUUGAUUGAUUUAUAUAUGUUUGUACUAAACACAGGCAAUAAUUCUCAUUGGCCAAAAGUAUCUUUUAAAAAUUAUUCAAAGUGUUGGAUUAUAUGUUGACAGCAAAUAAGGUAUUGAACAGAAUGAUACUACUGCCAAUCAUGGUACCAAUAUUCAGAUCUUGAACUCUUGUUUCCCAUGAAGAACUAAUCAUGAGUUUCUUGACAUAACAAGAAUUUCUUUAACAUCAAUUUCUCAAGUAUUUUUAUCAGGAAACUUAUACUUGAACAGAUGGUAUUUUUGACCCCAAGUUUUCUUUUUAAAUAAGAAUAUCAAAUUUCUUCUUUGUCAUCCCUGUGUAUAUACUUAUUAUAACCUCAAGAGAUUAGCUUUUUUUUUUUUUUAUCAAUAAAAUCUAAAGUAAAUAAAGUGCUUAGUUCUUUAUGAAAAGAUAAGAUGUAUUAUAUUUUUACGUGUAAUGCAUUUAAGACUAAUAUCAACAUAGGAUUUUUAGUAAAAUUCAAAUCCGAAUCAGAAACCAAUGUCGUAAUGAGACGAUUGACUUGAAAUAUUGGCAAUAAGAUGGCAAUUCUAAGAUGCUAUAUCUCAUGGAGUGUUUGAUUGGUAUAUGCUCUUUGGGGUAUAAUUGUUUUGCAAUUUUUGCAUGACAGCAAAUGGGUGAGUCGUGCAUGAUUUGGCUGUUUCUGACCUCUGAUCUUCUGACUUUACGAUGGCCAUGUUCUAUGGUGUCCAAAGCGUCAUUACAAAGAGAAAAUAUCUUGCAAAAAUACUGCAACAAUCUUUGAUAUGUAUUAUUUGUGUGAUGCCAUUUUCAUCAGAUAAAGCAAACACAAUAUGACAACACCCAAUGCUGGAAAGAGCUGACAGGUGAAUUCAUUCACCCACUAUGAUUUCAGGUUUCCUUACCCCAUAUCCAGGGAAAAGAAAAGAAAGAGAGAAGGGAAAGAAACUGAAUCUUUCUAACCUUUUUUGGGUUGAGAUGAGUUGUAAAACACAGGGUGUUGAGUCUUUGGUUGUUUUGUCUAUUGAUCAUCUGUGUUAUGCUUGUUCAUUGCACAAAUUUGUGUGCAUUUUUGGCUUUUGGGGUAAUG
rnacentral:lncRNA from 1 species